rnacentral:rRNA from 1 species
GACGAACGCUGGCGGCGUGCCUAAUACAUGCAAGUAGAACGCACAGUUUAUACCGUAGCUUGCUACACCAUAGACUGUGAGUUGCGAACGGGUGAGUAACGCGUAGGUAACCUGCCUGGUAGCGGGGGAUAACUAUUGGAAACGAUAGCUAAUACCGCAUAAUAUUAAUUAUUGCAUGAUAAUUAAUUGUAAGGUGCAAUUGCACCACUACCAGAUGGACCUGCGUUGUAUUAGCUAGUAGGUGAGGUAACGGCUCACCUAGGCGACGAUACAUAGCCGACCUGAGAGGGUGAUCGGCCACACUGGGACUGAGACACGGCCCAGACUCCUACGGGAGGCAGCAGUAGGGAAUCUUCGGCAAUGGACGAAAGUCUGACCGAGCAACGCCGCGUGAGUGAAGAAGGUUUUCGGAUCGUAAAGCUCUGUUGUAAGAGAAGAACGGGUGUGAGAGUGGAAAGUUCACACUGUGACGGUAUCUUACCAGAAAGGGACGGCUAACUACGUG